GUCCCUGUAGCACAUUGGCUACUGAGUUGGACUUCUAAUCCAAAGGUCGUGGAGUCGAAUCCCACCCGGGACG